UGCUUCGGUGAUCUGCCUGCUUUGGUCUC
rnacentral:piRNA from 1 species